rnacentral:lncRNA from 1 species
CUUUGUUCCUUUCUUCCUCUCUUGCUAUCUUUUUUAGUGGUUAGGUGAUUUUCUUUACAGCAUACAUUGAUUCUUUUUCUUUUUUUUUUCUUUUUUUUGAGACAGGGCCUCAUUCUGUCCCCCAAGCUGGAGUUCAGUGUCAUGAUCAUGGCUCACUGCAGCCUCGACUUCCCAGACUGAGAUCAUGGCUCACAGCAGCCUCAACUUCCCAGACUCAGAGACAGUGCUUCAUUAUGUUUCUCAGGCAGUCAAUAACUCCUGGGCUCAAGGGAUCCAGGCCACCACGGCCUCCCAAAGUGUUGGGAUUACAGGGUGAGCCACUGUGCCUCGCUGAUUCCUUACUUUUUAUCUUUUGUGUUAGUAAUAUAGGUUUUUGCUUUGUGGUUUUCCUAAGGCUUAUAUAAAAUAUCUUACACCGAUUAUGCUAUUUUAACUGGAUAGCAACUUAUCUUUGAUCACAUUAAAAAACUCUAAUCUUUUACUGCCCCUCUCCCACAUGUUGUUGUUGAUAUUGCUGUUUACAUCUUUUUGUAUUGUGUAGUCCUUAAAUUAUUGCAGUGAUGAUAUUGCUAUUAUUAUUUUUAAUAAUUUUAUCUUUUAACUUUUAUACUAAAGAUAUAGGUGAUUCACACACCACCAUGAUAGUAUUAGGGCAUUUUGAAUUCUAUUGUGUUCUCACUUUCACCAGUUUUUUUAUACUUUCAUAUGUUUUUAUGUUACUAGUGUCCUUUUCCUUUAGCUUGAAUAACUCUCUUUAGCAUUUUUUUGUAACACAGGUCUGGUGAUGAUAAACUCCCUCAGCUUUUGUUUGUCUGGGAAAGCCAUUAUCUCUUCUUUGUUUCUGAAGCACAGUUUGCCAGGUGUGCCUUAUGAGUUUUUGCAGAUAUACCCACAGACACUUAAAUGAACGAAACAAGGAACAACAAACAGGACACUUGCUACACAUGCCGAGGACCCUCACUUUAGGAAUAUGUAGAAAACAAUGUGGCAUUUUCAAAUGGAUAAAAAGCUGUUCAUAUCUCCCACAAUUGACUGAAUGUUCUAAGCUUAAAUAAACAAUUAUACAAAUAAUGACAGUGAAGUCAUACAAAACUAUUUAAUUAAUGUAUAUUCAAUUAUAAAUCCAAAGACAGGAAUUUUAAUGGUUCAGAUGACUCCAGUUUGCCCAUCCACUAGCAAGCACACAUCUUAUAUAGGGAAGAAAGUGGGAGACUAGAGCCUGCUGAUCCCUCAACUAGUCUUAGGUCUUGCCUGCUGCUCACGUUUAUGAGCAGCUUUUCAUUCUGAGGGUAAUUCUUGAGUUUAAGACACACCUUAGUCUUACAAUAUACUGCUUCAACACAAGCUAUCUUUUUAUCUGGUACUCAGCUGAAGAAGCCACCCUAAGAAGUAAGUGUACCCUUGAAUUUUACCUUGGGCUCUUUCUCUGGAAUCUCAUGCCUUGGCCUACCCCAUCACAAUGAGCUGUGACCCACACUAUGUUUUAUAAAAAGUGAUCUUAGCUGUUGCUUCUAUCCUUAGUGUUCAUUGUGUAUUUUCACUGUAGAAAGUUUCUAAAUACUUACAUAUUUCUGGGCCUUGUGGAAUUCUCUGGAGUACUCUUGAGGUAUUUCUCAUGGCAGGCCAGCUGCAAGAGAGUGGGUAGGGAAUGUGAGCCUUGUGGAAGUUAUACCCCCAGUGCCUAGCCAGCACAGUGCCUGGCCAGACUAAGUACUUGGCAAGCAUUACUUUUUAAAUGGAUGAAUGAAUACAUUGCUUUCAUUCAAAGAGGUUAAUGAUGACAUAUUCUUAACACAUGAAUAAUUCUUUAGUGCUUAAAUUACCAAUAAAUGCAAAGAGAAUCUGAAAACAAAGAUUUUUCUAAUUUUUCUGAUUGACACUGGUGUUUCAAUGCACAUUUAUGUAAUACAGACCUCAUCUACAUUUCUUACUUCUGAUGGAAGCAAGUAAGCCAGUUUAACAAAAAUAAACACUGGCAUGCAAUUAAAUUUUUGGAUAACCUGCACAUCCUUGGAAGCUUCAUUUACCUUUCCCUUUUUACUCAUUACCUUUUCUUAUGCAUCUAACACUGACAUCCAUCUCAGCUACCAUCAGCAUUUUGGAUUUUUCUUACUGAUAUGAACAUUUUUAUGCAGUUGUUUUUAGAAUUUCAAGAGUCAAGAGUGACCUAAGUAAUUACUAGGUGUUUUAACCCCUAGUGUGUAUUUUUGCAUAAUUUAAAGAUUCCAAGUCAUUGAAUUUUGCUAGUAUUUUUUCAUUUGCUUCAUUAAAUCAAUUAUACCUCUUGUAAAAAGUAAACUUUGUUUUCCUUAGAGCCCUGGAAACCAACAGGUAUACCCACAUUGCAGCCACUUAUUUCUUUCUUACUGAAAGAAUCCUAAGAGACAAUAAUAAUUAUUCUCAUAACAAAU